UGGGGAAUAUUGGACAAUGGGCGCAAGCCUGAUCCAGCCAUGCCGCGUGGGUGAUGAAGGCCCUAGGGUUGUAAAGCCCUUUCGGCGGGGAAGAUAAUGACGGUACCCGCAGAAGAAGCCCCGGCUAACUUCGUGCCAGCAGCCGCGGUAAUACGAAGGGGGCUAGCGUUGCUCGGAAUCACUGGGCGUAAAGCGCACGUAGGCGGAUUGCUAAGUCAGGGGUGAAAUCCUGGAGCUCAACUCCAGAACUGCCUUUGAUACUGGCGACCUUGAGUCCGGGAGAGGUGAGUGGAACUGCGAGUGUAGAGGUGAAAUUCGUAGAUAUUCGCAAGAACACCAGUGGCGAAGGCGGCUCACUGGCCCGGUACUGACGCUGAGGUGCGAAAGCGUGGGGAGCAAACA
rnacentral:rRNA from 2 species